UGUCCGUACGGGCAAAUUAAUGUGGAGGAUCCUGCUAAGAAGAAACUUCAACUCUUUGUUUUAUGUAUAGUAGUAAAUGUUAAGAUCGGCUGAACAACUCAUUUUGUGUGUUCCCAUAUUGAAUUUGGACUUCUUUUAAUGCACAUUCGUCUUACACUCUGUUUAAAAUGAUGAAAUACGCUACACCAGAUGUGCAACCCACACUCCAGGAAAUGGUUUGAAUCACAUCUAUCCACUGUGAUUUGACUUACAGGAGUUGGUGUGCUCCUCUGUCAGAUGAAUUCCACAAGCGGGAAUUUUCGCAGUGAUGAAUAUUCAUACGGUUACAGGCGAUCUUAAUUUUGACAGCUGUCAAUUCAGACUACGUGCUUCCUCCCUGGUAAAUGUACGACCAAGAAAACACCAUGGAAAAUGAAGUCUUCUCAUAAAUGUGUGUUGACGUUAAAUACAUAGGCUUAGAAGGCUUCGUUUCAUGUUUAAAAAACCUGAAAAAACACAAAUUAUAUGUAAAGAGUUAACAGAAGUAUUUAUUAUUAUUUUAUGUAACUUAAACUAAUUAAAAUUACCUUUCUAUAAGUUCUCAAAUGUAUUUUGGCUUUGCUUCAACAGGUCUUGUACAAUUUACAUAUGCUAUAUACAGGGUUGUUGUCAAGGCCCUGUGUAAAAAUGUCCUUAACGGCAUACACUUUGAGCUACUUUGAGGGUGCAGGAGAUUAACAAUAAAAAAUGGUCCUUGGCCCUUUCAGCAACGACUGUAUGUGUUUGAGAUUCCGUGUGCAUGUUUAUGUAUUUACGCAUAAAGAAUUGUUUAAUUGCAUAUAAAGUUUAUUCAUUCAAAGUACAUCAUAUUCAAAGUACAUCACAUUCAGUUGUUAGUGUCUGCUACCUCCUGGCCAUUAUAUGCAUCUUCAUAUUUGCCUGUCUGAUUUAUAUCUCCCUGUGGCUAACUGAGAUUGAUACUCUGGUUUUCCAUCCACUGAAACUGAUUUCAGCGCAAAAAAUGAUAUGCAAAGCCAAGUAGGAUUUUGCCCCAGGCACUGGCCGUCCAACCUGUCACACAGCAUCGCAGGGCAGGAACAAGGAAACGGUCUCUGAAUGCGGGAAUGUGUGUGUAGCAGAGCCCUGUCCCAGCUUUGCCGACUGGCGCCGAGCACGAUAUCAGGCGACGGGAGGGUCCCAAGGCGGGCACACAUUUAUCAGGAGCAAGGCCCUGUGAACGUUGACAAGGAGAUUCAUGAUCUCAACAGUUCCAGGGAGGACAGGCAGGCAAGGGGCUUGUGGCAUCGUCAGUCCGGAUGAGAGGCAAAUUUAUUUGGGUAAAACCUAAGAUGAGGCAGCGGAGCGUACGGCAACAACAUUUCCAGUGGAAUGGGGAAGGUGUCACACUCAUCAAGUACCUGGGCCCGCCUGCCACGGGUCUGCUUGUUUUGCCUAGGGACUUGUCUGUCACAUUAAAGUAGAUGCAUUGCCAUUCAAGACCCUUCCCAGUCCUAGUGCCUGACCAUGAAAUAGGCCAACUUUCAAGUCUG
ensembl:lncRNA